GAAUCUAGCUUCAGGUCGGGGACAACCACUGGAAACGGUGGCUAAUACCGGAUGUGCCCUUGGGUAAAAGGCUUGCCGCCUGAAGAUGAGCUCGCGUCUGAUUAGCUAGUAGGUGUGGUAAGAGCGCACCUAGGCGACGAUCAGUAGCUGGUCUGAGAGGAUGAUCAGCCACACUGGGACUGAGACACGGCCCAGACUCCUACGGGAGGCAGCAGUGGGGAAUUUUCCGCAAUGGGCGAAAGCCUGACGGAGCAAUACCGCGUGAGGGAGGAAGGCUCUUGGGUUGUAAACCUCUUUUCUCAGGGAAGAAAAAAAUGACGGUACCUGAGGAAUAAGCAUCGGCUAACUCCGUGCCAGCAGCCGCGGUAAUACGGAGGAUGCAAGCGUUAUCCGGAAUGAUUGGGCGUAAAGCGUCCGCAGGUGGCGAUGUAAGUCUGCUGUUAAAGAGUGAGGCUCAACCUCAUAAGAGCAGUGGAAACUACAUUGCUAGAGUGCGUUCGGGGCAGAGGGAAUUCCUGGUGUAGCGGUGAAAUGCGUAGAGAUCAGGAAGAACACCGGUGGCGAAAGCGCUCUGCUAGGCCGCAACU
rnacentral:rRNA from 1 species